rnacentral:misc_RNA from 1 species
GAUGCAUCAAAACAACGCCGAACGGCAAACAGAGCAGUCGUGUUUUUCGCUCACUCUCUCUGCUCCAAUUUGUAAACAACAACAAGCUGAAAACAGGAGUUGCCGAAGCCCCCGUUCCCUUUUGUUGGUAUUGGUGGGGUGCGCGAAGCUGGUGUACAUUUCGGGCGAGAGUGUGCAUGACGACGUCCAGCAAAAGAGUUUCGUGGUUUUGUUGUUGUUUUUACAAUCGUUGUUCAUCCCCAUCAAAGAAAGCCAGAUAGCUGUGCGACACAAACACUCUUCGCCGUAUGUGAACAUAGUAGGCUGGCUGUUUACUCCAUUCUGCUACGUGUAGUGUAUUAAUGCGCAGCAAAUUGCAAAGCCAGCUGUGGCUGAAAGCAAAACCCAGGCAAUAACGAAUCGUCACUUGGACAGUAAGGACGCGCGGGUCGUACUCCAGAAAGUGUUUCAAGUGAACAAAGUCAGUAUUCUGUUGCAUUUUGGAAAACUAAAUAGCUGAACAGUUGGUCAACUUUGUCCGUGGAACCAUAUUGAAAGCGAACGCCAUUUUAUUGCACCUUUCCAUAUACGUCGUUGUCGUCCAGCUGGAAAGAGAGCUAGUGUAAACAAAGAAGUCGAAAAAACAGUCAGUUGCAAUUUGGUCGUGCAAAAAGUUGACUCAAUCUAGUUGUUAAGUGUUGACCCUACCUCAGGUAGUGGGUUGCUUUAAGCGCAAAAGAAAAAAAAUAUUGUUAUCGUAGAAAAAAUCCAGGUACACGUACCUUCCGAAGCAGCUGAAAGGGAACCAGAUUAUCAUAUAAACAGUUCCGUUCGAUACAAAAGUGUGUGUGUGUUCAUUUCCAUUCUGAAUUGCGCGUCUGGCCACGUUGCACCUGUGUGGGUGUUUUGUUUAUAUUACCUAGAGUGUGUAUCCAUUCGAAACGAUCGUGUGGCACCGUGAAGAGAAAACGCAUACCGCCAAGCUCUUUGUUUACAAAUAUAGAGAAGCGGGAGAAUUGAUUUUUCCUUGUUUCGGUGGCACGUAGAUCUUGUUUUUCUUCCUACGGGAGAACCCAACCGCACAUCCAACCGCGCAUUCCAGACAAAGAAAGUGGUGCAAUGUUCAAGUCCAUCACGAGCACCAGCGGAACGAACAGCAAGAUGUCCGCAACGCCCAGAACCAGCGAGGACCUACUCGGAGCAAAAAAACAUCAUUUCCUUUCCCCAGAAUCAUGGAUCGAGCUGUCGUCCAACACCAACACAUGCCCCAAGAGCCCGGACCGGACCACGCCUUUGCCGUUCACCUCGGUCGAAGAGUACCUCCGGCUGCUGCGGGAAGCUCAACGAGAAUCGAAGGAAUCGAGCCGGGUGGCGUCGCUGACCAGCUCGCGGCGUGAGUCAACCCGCGGUAGCCCAAAGUCACCUCCGAACAGCCCCAAUACGGAACUGGCCACCACCGAGGAGCAGCUCAAAGGAGUCUACAUCAACUAUCUGAACAGGGAAGGAGAUGCCACUGCUCAAAAGGAUAAUGACUGGGUUUGGGAAUGGAGCAGUCGGCCGGAGCAACUGCAGGCAAAGGAAUGGAAGUUCGAAAACUCCAAACAAAGCAUUCGUCGCAACCAACAGGGCUACUCGCUGAGAAUGGCACGUGUGGGCAAAAAUUCUUUGUUCUCGCGAGAAGUGCUCUAUUCACUUGUGCUAACAAAUGUAUUAUCCUUGCUGCUUGGAGCUGGAAUCGGAGCUUGGCUACAUAAACGAGGACUGCUCUUCACGCGAAUCUCGAUCGAAUAAAAAUCGACGAGGAAGCGUGUGGAUAGAAUUAAUUGUUUCAACUUUUGCAGCGAAUAAGUUUUCUACAACCAUCAUCCAAAUUUUGCUGCGAUGAACAAGUGUCAAAAACAUCAAACAAUCUUAAAGUGAGUUCCAGCACAAGAUAGCUCCAAAAUUACAUAAAUCCAUCACAUUUUUUGGCGUGUUGAGCGCACGCAUUCGUUCCAUUGCACUGAACUGGAAACUCAGGAAAAAAUAAUGAAUUGCUUCAAAUACAGCUGAUUCUACAGAAAGCAGAGAGAUUGAUAAGAUGAAUUGUAGAAAAUCCAAAACAGACUCGUGAAAAGGUUUAGAUUAGUUAGGCAAUGUACAGUUCAAAUAGAAAACAUCAGAAUAUGGAGAUCUUUUGAGGAUGCUUUCGAAACAAUUCCCAUACAUUGCAGGACAGAAAAGGACUUUAGCCGUUUCUUGUGAUUUUAUGAAUGUUAUUUUUGUUUGUUUAUUAUAUGAUUUUUUUUUAACAAAAGUAAAACAUAUUGUCUAUCAAAUAUGUAACGAAGUGAAAUGUACUGUCAAAGUUAGACUUGUGCGAGAAACCAUGUUUUAUAAAAAUCUUUUUAUAAGUGUAACACCUUAUUCCAUUUUAUAGUAAUGUACGUUAUGAUUAAUCUUAUAAAUGCUAUUAUAAAGUCAGGUGUGUUACAAUCAAACAUUCUUUUCACUACAAAAAUAUUAUAUUUUAUUUAUUUACUAAUCUGAAAAUAAUUUUGCAUGAGCUUUAAAAUCCCAUUCGAUAAAUUCACAAUUAUAACAUGAUAGUUUCUCUUAAACACUUUUGGCGCCAUCUAUGGGAAAAGCGAUUCGAUUCAAUCGCUUUGAAGCUUUUUCUUAACCAAACCCAAACCAAUCUGCAUUUUCCUCUUUCAAAUCGCACACUGCAGCGUCCAAGAAUGAGAGCUGGUAUUUGAUAGAAAUGUAAACGUAAAGUAAGUAAAACGAGUUCACUUUUCUUAAACAUUAAGCCGUUCUAGGAUCACACUAAAAUAUUCAUUGAAAUAUCACUAGAAUAGACAGUUUUACCUUAAGCGUCCCAUUGGCUUUUCUGUAUUCGGUGAACUAAAGUAGCAAGUAAUGUCAAAACUAUUCAAUUUGUAUCUGUAUAUUAUGCAAUCAAAAUUGGAAAAUUAUCAUAACUUAUUCAUUACUUUUUAUAAACAUUAAUUUAAAGUAUAAUAAAAAUGUGCGAAAA